rnacentral:sRNA from 1 species
GGGCGGAGCGGGCGGUCGGCGCAGCCGCGAGCGUGGCCCGGCAGUCUUCAUCCUUCGCGGCGCGCUGGAAGAACAGUCUAUUGCCAAAGCCUUCUCCCAACUCUUUGUUCUUUGGAGUGAAGCUGAGACACUCCUAGGGGCUUCUCCUAAGGAACUCGAAUUUGGAAUCUAAGUUGGGAACAAAGCCAGUCUACCCCAACUUUCCCUCCCCCCCCCCACCUCCCAUUCAUUCAUUUAUUCACUUUACAUCCUGACCUCAACCCCCCUCUCCUCCCAGCCCCCCUUCACCAUGACCCCUCCAGAUUUACCCCUCUCCCCUUCACCUCUGAGGUAGACAUUGCCUCAGAGUAAAGAGCUAGAAAAAGGGUUUCCAAGCAAAAGGGGCUACGCUAACUUUGUAACAUUAAUGACCUUAAAACAGAUAUGCUUCUCUGACUUUACCUGGAGUUUUUGGACGAGCUGUUUAAUAUUUAUGACUGUUCUGGUGUGUGAAAACGCCCGAACCUUUGUCCUUUCUAUUUCUUUACUUGAAAUGGCUAGUGUGAAAGACUAUGCUCAAUAAACUUUGUUACAUUUAA